ACUCCUACGGGAGGCAGCAGUAGGGAAUCUUCCACAAUGGGCGCAAGCCUGAUGGAGCAACACCGCGUGAGUGAAGAAGGGUUUCGGCUCGUAAAGCUCUGUUGUUAAAGAAGAACACGUAUGAGAGUAACUGUUCAUACGUUGACGGUAUUUAACCAGAAAGUCACGGCUAACUACGUGCCAGCAGCCGCGGUAAUACGUAGGCGGCAAGCGUUAUCCGGAUUUAUUGGGCGUAAAGAGAGUGCAGGCGGUUUUCUAAGUCUGAUGUGAAAAGCCUUCGGCUUAACCGGAGAAGUGCAUCGAAAACUGGAUAACUUGAGUGCAGAAGAGGGUAGUGGAACUCCAUGUGUAGCGGUGGAAUGCGUAGAUAUAUGGAAGAACACCAGUGGCGAAGGCGGCUACCUGGUCUGCAACUGACGCUGAGACUCGAAAGCAUGGGUAGCGAACAGGAUUAGAUACCCUGGUAGGAUAGCG
rnacentral:rRNA from 1 species